AGCAGCGUGGCUCAGUGGAAAGAGCCCGGGCUAGGGAGUCCGAGGUCACGGGUGCGAAUCCCGGCUCUGCCA
rnacentral:tRNA from 1 species